GAUUCAUAAUUGAAAAUAAAGUUGGUGAUUUUUUUUAAUAAUGUAGUUUAAACAGCGUAAAAAACAACUGUCACGAUAGGGGAAAAAUACCUUGCGUUUUCAGUGGAGAACUUACGGUUAAUGACACUAAGUGCCACCCAACUGAAAACGAGAGUGGGCGUGGCUAAAAUGGAUAACGGACCCACUCUCUCUCUCCUAUCCAGUGGUCGUCAAGAUACAACCUCUGGCAUGAAUCUUAAUAAUUAACAAAAGACAAAUAAUUAUGAUGCAAGUCGUACGAGGAAGACGAACAUGAUGGUGACAGUUGUAGGAGCUUACUGACGCAAUGCAUAUGAUAACAGAAGCCAUCACCUCAGCUAAUAAGUGAUGCACCUGCAUGGUCAACAAUGGUAACAUAAUAAUAUAUUACCAUGUUCUGUCCAGCCUGUUUGUCUUCUUCCCUGCUCAGUGAACAAGAUGUCUUUGGCUCAAAGGGUGUUGUUGACUUGGGUUUUCACCCUGGUCUUUCUCAUCAUGCUGGUCCUCAAACUGGAUGGGAAGGUACAAUAUUUGGACUUUUGUCUUCAAAUUGCUUCAUUUUCAUGUAUUUGUAUUAUUCUGGGCUUUUAUUUGUUAUUGUUUUCACACUCUCUUUGGUCUACAAGAAAACUGUUUAUUAUUUUGUUCUAUUUAUGGUCGUUUCUUAUUAACCAAUACUAUUUAUUACUUACUACAGUGCAGUGAUGGCCAAGCUCCUUGGAAAUGUAGCAGGCUAAUCUACAAGUUACUUUCGAUAUAGCUAAGCUACAGGGGAAGCUAUCCCUAGACAAUUGUAGCAAGCUACACGGCAAACGUAGCUUGCAACGUUAAAGCUACAUCCAUCCAUCCAUCCAUCUUCUUCCGCUUAUCCGUGGUCGGGUCGCGGGGGCAGCACCCUAAGCAGGUGCAGUGGAACUGGUUCCUCAUCUUCCUGCCGGUGUGGGUCUUUGACGGCAUCCUCCUCCUCAUGCUCACCAUCAAGAUGGCCGGCCGAUGUAAGCCGGGCUUUGACCCCCGCAACGGCUCGCCGGACCUGCGUCUGCGCGCCUG